CGGAGGAUGCGAGCGUUAUCCGGAUUUAUUGGGUUUAAAGGGUGCGUAGGCGGCCGAGUAAGUCAGCGGUGAAAUUUUGCAGCUUAACUGUAACAGUGCCGUUGAUACUGCAUGGCUAGGAUUUGGUUUGCUGUGGGUGGAAUGUGUGGUGUAGCGGUGAAAUGCUUAGAUAUCACACAGAAUAUCAAUUGCGAAGGCAGCUCACAAAGCCAAGAUUGACGCUGAGGCACGAAAGUAGUGGGGAGUCAAA
rnacentral:rRNA from 1 species